GACGAACCGUGCGAACGUUAUUCGGAAUCACUGGGCUUAAAGCGCGUGUAGGCGGGACGGCACGUCGGCCGCUGAAAUCCCCCGGCUCAACCGGGGAAGUGGCGCCGAUACGACCGCCCUGGAGGGGCGUAGGGGGGGCUGGAACUUCCGGUGGAGCGGUGAAAUGCGUUGAGAUCGGAAGGAACGCCCGUGGCGAAAGCGAGCCCCUGGACGCUUACUGACGCUGAGACGCGAAAGCGUGGGGAGCGAACAGG
rnacentral:rRNA from 1 species